UACGGAGGGGGCAAGCGUUAUCCGGAUUUACUGGGUGUAAAGGGAGCGCAGGCGGCGUGGCAAGUCAGAUGUGAAAACCCGGGGCCCAACCCCGGGAGUGCAUUUGAAACUGUCUGGCUAGAGUGCAGGAGAGGUAAGUGGAAUUCCUAGUGUAGCGGUGAAAUGCAUAGAUAUUAGGAGGAACACCAGUGGCGAAGGCGGCCUGCUGGACUGCAACUGACGUUGAGGCUCGAAGGCGUGGGGAGCAAACAGG
rnacentral:rRNA from 1 species